AACGAACGCUGGCGGCAGGCUUAACACAUGCAAGUCGAGCGCCCCGCAAGGGGAGCGGCAGACGGGUGAGUAACACGUGGGAAUCUACCCAUCCCUACGGAACAACUCCGGGAAACUGGAGCUAAUACCGUAUACGCCCUUCGGGGGAAAGAUUUAUCGGGGAUGGAUGAGCCCGCGUUGGAUUAGCUAGUUGGUGGGGUAAAGGCCUACCAAGGCGACGAUCCAUAGCUGGUCUGAGAGGAUGAUCAGCCACAUUGGGACUGAGACACGGCCCAAACUCCUACGGGAGGCAGCAGUGGGGAAUAUUGGACAAUGGGCGCAAGCCUGAUCCAGCCAUGCCGCGUGAGUGAUGAAGGCCUUAGGGUUGUAAAGCUCUUUCACCGGAGAAGAUAAUGACGGUAUCCGGAGAAGAAGCCCCGGCUAACUUCGUGCCAGCAGCCGCCGUAA
rnacentral:rRNA from 1 species